rnacentral:pre_miRNA from 1 species
CUGGUUUUCUCUUUGGUCUUCCAGAUUUUUAUUGGAAUUCUGAGAUCAUUGUGAAAACUAAUC